rnacentral:tRNA from 1 species
AGGCCCUUCGUAUAAUGGUAGUACAUCGGUUUCCAAAACCGCUAGCGUGGGUUCGAUUCCUACAGGGCCUGCCA